UACGUAGGGGGCGAGCGUUGUCCGGAAUGACUGGGCGUAAAGGGCGCGUAGACGGCUGUCUAAGUCUGGAGUGAAAGUCCUGCUUUCAAGGUGGGAAUUGCUUUGGAGACUGGAUGGCUUGAGUGCGGAAGAGGUAAGUGGAAUUCCCAGUGUAGCGGUGAAAUGCGUAGAGAUUGGGAGGAACACCAGUGGCGAAGGCGACUUACUGGGCCGUAACUGACGUUGAUGCGCGAAAGCGUGGGGAGCGAACAGGAUUAGAUACCCUGGUAGUCCACGCGGUAAACGAUGAGUGCUAGGUGUAGCGGGUAUCGACCCCUGCUGUGCCGGAGUUAACACAAUAAGCACUCCGCCUGGGGAGUACGGCCGCAAGGUUGAAACUCAAAGGAAUUGACGGGGGCCCGCACAAGCAGCGGAGCAUGUGGUUUAAUUCGAAGCAACGCGAAGAACCUUACCAGGUCUUGACAUCGAGGCAAAGCGGUAGAGAUACCGUGUUCAGCAAUGAAGCCGAAGACAGGUGGUGCAUGGUU
rnacentral:rRNA from 1 species